rnacentral:rRNA from 1 species
UACGUAGGGUGCAAGCGUUAUCCGGAAUUAUUGGGCGUAAAGAGCUCGUAGGCGGUUUGUCGCGUCUGCCGUGAAAGUCCGGGGCUCAACUCCGGAUCUGCGGUGGGUACGGGCAGACUAGAGUGAUGUAGGGGAGACUGGAAUUCCUGGUGUAGCGGUGAAAUGCGCAGAUAUCAGGAGGAACACCGAUGGCGAAGGCAGGUCUCUGGGCCGAUACUGACGCUGAGGAGCGAAAGCGUGGGGAGCGAACAGG